UACGGAGGGGGCAAGCGUUGUUCGGAGUUACUGGGCGUAAAGCGCGCGUAGGCGGUGCGGUAAGUCAGGGGUUAAAGGCUGCAGCUCAACUGCAGUAAGGCCUUUGAUACUAUCGCGCUAGAGUACCAGAGAGGAUGGCGGAAUUCCCGGUGUAGCGGUGAAAUGCGUAGAUAUAUGGAGGAACACCGGUGGCGAAAGCGGCCUUCUGGCCUUAACCUGACGCUGAGGAGCGAAAGCUAGGGGAGCAAACGGG
rnacentral:rRNA from 1 species